rnacentral:rRNA from 1 species
GACGAACGCUGGCGGCGUGCCUAAUACAUGCAAGUAGAACGCAGUUGCGAGCGGGGGAGUAACGCUUAGUUAACUGCCUCAUAGCGGGGGUUAACUAUUGAAAACGAUUGCUAAUACCGCAUACUGUGAGAUGCACCUGCGUUGUAUUAGGUAGUUGUUGAGGUAAAGGCUGACCAAGGAGACGAUACAUAACCGACCUGAGAGGGUGGACGGCCACAAUGGGGAUUGGACAAGGCCCAAGCUUCUAAGGGAAGCAGACGUAAGGAAUCUUUGGGAAUGGACGGAAGUCUGACCGAGCAAAGACGGGUGAGUGAAGAAGGUUUUCGGAUCGUAAAGCUCUGUUGUUAGAAGAACGGUAACUAACCAGAAAGGCACGGCUAACUACGUGCCAGCAGCCGCGGUAAUAC